UUCGCCCUCACGGUGAAGUGUCACAAGGAAGAGAAAAUGAAAAAUUCCCUUGAUGACGUCACUCGUCGUGAGAGGAAAGGAGAUGACGAAAACGGAAAGUAAACAAAAACAUUCCGGCUGCGACGUCGCGAUCGUCGCGAACCGCGAUUUUACCCGUUUUCGUCGGUUUAGGGUGCUUUUCUCCGGAUGAAAAGCACCAUCGGUCGUGUGUUUGAGUCCUUCCCCGCUGGAAGGAAGUGAUUUAUUGUGAUUAUCCCCGUGGAAGAGGGGUCUUUUGGUGAUUUUAAAGUCACACGGACGACCCCACAGGGGUGUUUGAUUACCUCCCGCUGAUGGGAGGAGUGUUAAGUUUAUUUUAUUUGGCCUUCAAUCGGCCUGUUGGUAAACCUGCGUUCCACGGGGCAGUAUUUUGGUGUUUGCUGUGAAUUGAGGCAGCUACCGUGGAAAUUCUAACGGAUAUUUAACUCAACAGCGGAGGAUAUCCGUACUACUUCCCCUUCGAAUGUUGUCCUUCGGAAGCUCCCAAGUGAGCAUCCUGAUGAAGUAAACAACAGACGAGAAGAAGUAGUAGGUCGUAGGAAGGCUGUCGCAAAGCACUUCUGGUCAGCUCCGACACAUCGUAGGAAGGACUGGAUUACGCUGGCUUGACGAGGUUUGCUGGCCAGAAACCAAGAUUUUUCCCAUCCAAGUCAACCAAUUCGUAGGAGGAAAGACCCCGACGACGAAGUAUUUUUGCGGAUCAUCCUCCAAAUCGCCUGAGGUUUUCCUGAAAUCUUCUCCCGAGGCCAUUUCAUUCCCGUGGACUACGAAAAAAGGACUGAACCCGGUAGAGGAGUGAAUAGUGGUAUUGAGAACCUUCUCAACGUCCGACACAUGGACGUCCCAGCUACGUUGAUCGGUGCGAGCGUAGGCACGGAUAGCGGUGUUGAUUGAACGGUUCACUCGUUCAACCGGGUUCGCCUGAGAAUGAUAUUUAGUAUUUAACCAAUGUGUAACUCCAUUUUCUUUUAGGAAUUGGCCGAACUCCUUCGAUACGAAGGUGGAAGCGUUAUCGCUCAGGAGAACCUCUGGACUUCCGUGACGAUUAAACCACUGCUCCCGUAGAAUGGUGCAAAGGGAGCUACUCUGGAUUUUUCGUACAGGGACCAACAUCACAUACUUGCUGUACACGUCGAGCACGACAAGCAAGUGUUGGUACCCGCGUCUGCUUCUGGGUAGAGGACCGAUAUAGUCCACUGAAAUCAUCCUCCAUGGUGAGUUUGUAAUCCGGGCCUGACCUAGUUCAGGCUGGACCGGCACGAAAGGAGCUUUAAUCUCCUUGCACGUUCCGCAUUGUUGUAGGAAUGUUCUAAUUUGAGAUGCCAUACUUGGCCAAAAAUAUCUAAGCUUGAUCUCGUGAAGGGUUUUAUCAAACCCCACGUGGAGAAGGUUUUCAUGCGUCUUCUCGAUUAUUUCGUGGCGGCACUCCGGUGCGGGAAUCAGUUUCCAACUGAACCGCGAGUCGCACGGAACUUCGUCGGUCUUGACGUACUUGUACAGUUGCCCAUUUUCGACCUUAAAGUCACAAUAAUCUUCAGGAUUAUCAAUUACUUUGGAUUUUAGAUCGCAAUACCAAUCAGACUUGGUCACUGCCGAGAUUUCAGCCACGGCACGGGACAAUGCGUCUGGUACAACAUUGUCUUUCCCCUUACGAUGUUGUAUGGUCAUAUCGUAGAGUUGGAGCUCCAAGCUCCAGCGGCUCAGGCGUGAACCAGUCUUCCAUUUGGUUUGCAUUAUCCAAGUAAUCGCUGAGUUAUCUGUGAUUAGUCGAAAGUGGUAACCUUCCAAAUACCCUCGAAAGUUUUCAACCGCCAACACUACCGCAAGCCCUUCCUUUUCGGUUGCAUGGUAGUUGCGUUGAGGCGUUGUUAACUUAUGUGAAAAAUAAGCUACUACUUUCUCACCAUCGGGAUGCCUUUGCGCGAGCACGGCUGCUACUGCGGUGUCGCUAGCAUCAGUUUGAAGGAUGAAUUCUUUAGAAAAAUCCGGUUAUACCAAAAUUGGAGGAGUGACCAACAUUUCCUUGAUUUCAAGAAACGCUUUUUCUGCCUCGGAGUUCCAGCUAAUUGUCUUGGAUUUGGUUUUGAGUAGAUCGGUUAGAGGCGCUGUCACCUCACUGUACCGAUCGAUAAAGCGGCGAUAGUAUCCGCACAUCCCUAAGAACCGACGCAACUUCGUGAUUGUGAUCGUUCUCUCGUAGUCGAGGAUGGGUUGAAUUUUCUCGGGAUUGACUUUCAUCCCGUCGCGAGAUAGGAAAUAUCCAAGAAAUUUUAGCUGCGGAACUCCAAAACGGGAUUUUUCCAAAUUAAUGGUUAGGUUGGCUUUGCUUAGACAGUCGGCCACCUCUUUCAGCAACUGUACGUGGUGCUCGAAGGUUUCGCUGACGAUGAUUAUGUCAUCGAGAUAAACGAAGACGAAGGGCUCCAGCUUACCACGACCUAGCACUUGGUCCAUUAACCUGGCUAGGGUUGCUGGACUAUUUACUAGCCCGAAUGGCAGUCGGGUAAACUGGAACAUACCUCGACCAGAUACACUGAAGGCCGUAUACUUCCGACAGUCCUUAGCUAAUGGGACCUGGAGGAAAGCCUCCUUUAAAUCAAUAGUUGAUAGGAACCUGGCUUUUGGCAGACUGCCCAGUAUACGACCUGGAUGCGGGAGCGGAUAUGCAUCACGUACUGUACGCUCGUUGAGAGGCCUGGCGUCUAAGCAAAGGCGAAUAGAGUCAUCAGGUUUUGUUACGGCGACUAUAUUCAGUGACCAAUCUGAAUCCGACUCUUCUAUGAUUCCCAUCGAACGCCAUCUGUCUACCUCACUCCAUACCUUCGCUAGUUUAUGUGGACUCAUUUUAUAAGGAUACCGAAUUACUGGAUCCUUACCUUGGAAUUCUUCCUUUAUUACAAUCUUGUGCUCGGU